rnacentral:sRNA from 1 species
AAAAAGCCCGCUUGUACGUCGACAGAAGCGGGCUUGUGCGGAAAAAGCGCAGGCGGUUGUUCGUAAUUGAAAGACCACCGUUUCGCUUUAGCUGUUUGGGGUUCACGCCGAUGAAGGCCGUGCCCCGCGUCCGCAAGCUGAUCUCAAAUCGACGCAAGUCCCGAUGCUAACACGAUGCGGGCCCAGCCCGCAUCGUGC